GAUAGUCCUGUUGAGCACUCCUUUAAGAACAAGGGUACUGCGAAGACACAGCCCCUUCCACUAGCACCAAUUCUGUUGGUGUAGAAUUCUGCCGAUGCUGGAGAAGCUGGAGUUUAGAUGACCGCGACCGCUGUUGGGACCUACAAGGAAAGUCUAAACUGGAGUUGGGGGUGCUCCGGCAAGACCCUCCGAUGCUCAAGUCAGUACUCUGCUUCAACAGAAAUGGAGUGCUCAAAUGAAAUUUUGACAGAGUUUCGAGAUAGAGUUUUUAGCUUAGAGAAGAACGUAUCUGAGGGG
rnacentral:lncRNA from 1 species